UAAGGUGAUUAUAGCAAUGGGGCUCACCUCUUACCAUUCCGAACAGAGAAGUUAAGCCCAUUAGCGCCGAUGGUACUACAUUGUGGGAGAGUAGGUCGUCGCCUUUU
rnacentral:rRNA from 2 species